CCUACGGGGGGCUGCAGUGGGGAAUAUUGCGCAAUGGGGGGAACCCUGACGCAGCAACGCCGCGUGAGCGAAGAAGGCCUUCGGGUCGUAAAGCUCUGUCGAGAGGGACGAAGUCUAUGAGCUGAAUAAGCGAAUAGGUGACGGUACCUUUUAAGGAAGCCCCGGCUAACUACGUGCCAGCAGCCGCGGUAAUACGUAGGGGGCGAGCGUUGUCCGGAAUUACUGGGCGUAAAGGGCGUGUAGGCGGCUAGGUAAGUCAGGUGUGAAAGGCUACGGCUCAACCGUAGUAAGCCUUGGAAACUUAUUGGCUUGAGUGCAGGAGAGGAGAGCGGAAUUCCUGGUGUAGCGGUGAAAUGCGUAGAUAUCAGGAGGAACACCAGUGGCGAAGGCGGCUCUCUGGACUGUAACUGACGCUGAGGCACGAAAGCGUGGGGAGCAAACAGGAUUAGAUACCCUAGUAGUC
rnacentral:rRNA from 1 species